rnacentral:misc_RNA from 1 species
AACCAUUCUCACCUGCGGCUAGACCUGCGGAAGGAUCAUUACCGAGUGAGGACCCCCCGGGUCCAACCUCCCACCCGUGUUUAACGAACCUUGUUGCUUCGGCGGGCCCGCCUCACGGCCGCCGGGGGGCACUCCGCCCCCGGGCCCGCGCCCGCCGAAGACACCUGUGAACGCUGUCUGAAGUUGCAGUCUGAGACACUAGCUCAAUCAGUUAAAACUUUCAACAACGGAUCUCAGAUC